GACUCGGUAGCGGAUGGGCCGCAUCUGCUCUGUAUUCAUGAGGUGCGCAUAACCAGUAUGAAGUAGAAGACGCCUGUUCGAUUCAGGGCCGAGUCA